CCAUAAUUACUCUAAAAUAAAAACUGUAUUAUUUUGAUAACUUUUAAAAAAAGUUCUCAAUUCAAUAUGAUUGCUACCAUUGUUUCUCUCGCCUGAUCUUCUCAUGCCAUCAAAACCGUCGCCCGAAAAUGCAUUAACGAGCUGGAUUACCCGCCGGUGAAAAAAUCUGUUUCCAAUCAACCUUUAUAUCUAAUAAAUCAAGUUCUCCAUUAGACACACAAACUUCAAAUAUAUAUUAUUAAUAUCAACAACGAUAUACUCAUAAUUUAUUAUAUCAUUUUAAAUUUUAAUUAUAUAUAUUUUGAUAUAAUAUUUAGAACAACUUAUAACUUUCCUUAUUUAUAAAUAAGAAUAUAAUAGAAUAUAAAGACACAAUUUUUUUUUUUAAGAAAACAGAAAAGCAGAAAAUGGGCAAUCUUUGAUUUACUUUCCAUAAGCAGAUUUUACAGAAAUGUUAUGCUAUUAUUCAGAAAUCCAUCAGUGAAAAUAUUUGUUUUUGAUGUAUUAUAAGAUUUCACUCUCACACCACACUCAUAGAAAUCUAUCUCCAGAGCAAACGACAAAGCUUGGUUUUGAUUGGAAAAGCAAGCAAGCCCAUUUUAGCAAGCAAUAUUAAAAGAGGAGGGAACUUAGCUUUAGCCUCCCAAAUCAAAUUGUAAAGAGGCAAAGAAUAACGAAACAUUAUAAGCAAGCUAGUAAUGUUGUACCUGAGCAAUGGCGACGAUGAACUGACGGAACCAAGGGGCAUACGCAGAUUGUUUCUUGAGCCUAGGAGACACCGGUGGGUAAUCGGGAUCGUUGAUCAAUUUUCAAGCGACGGUUUUGAUGGCGAGGAAUAAGAAAAUGAGUAAGAGAAACAAUGGCGGCAGUGAUAUGAGGAAGAAGAUGGUAGAGAGUAUAAUAUUUUUUUUCGUUUCUUUAUUUUAGUGAAUGGUGGUAGUCAACGGAAGAGAUAGAAAGAAGAAAUGAUUGAAUCAGAUGGAUUAAAAUUUUGAAGCUAAGUUGGUAAGUUUGAAUUGGA
rnacentral:lncRNA from 1 species